rnacentral:rRNA from 1 species
UACAGAGGUCUCAAGCGUUGUUCGGAUUCAUUGGGCGUAAAGGGUGCGUAGGUUGCGGGGUUAGUCAGGUGUGAAAUCUCGGGGCUCAACCCCGAAACUGCACUUGAUACUGCCUUGCUAGAGUACUGGAGAGGAGAUUGGAAUUUACGGUGUAGCAGUGAAAUGCGUAGAUAUCGUAAGGAAGACCAGUGGCGAAGGCGAAUCUCUGGACAGUUACUGACACUGAGGCACGAAGGCCAGGGGAGCAAACGGG